GUUUGAUUGUGACUAUGCCUAUGUACUUGGACACAUAUGCUAUCAUAUACUCUCAGCUGGCUUGAAUGGUUACAUGGCCACUGUAACAAAUCUGAAAAACCCUGUAAACAAGUGGAAAUGUGGCGCAGCUCCAAUUACGGCUAUGAUGACGGUGAGGCGAUGGUCACGUGGUCCUGCAUCUACUCCAGUUGGAAAGCCGGCAGUCCAUCCUGCUUCUGUCGACUUGAAAGGAAAAGCAUAUGAGUUGCUGAGACAUAGUGGUUCAAGUUUCUUGAUGGAUGAUAUAUACCGAAACCCUGGUCCACUUCAGUUCGAAGGGCCUGGUGCUGAUGCUAAGAGUAUUACGUUGUGUGUUGAAGAUCAGGAUUACAUGGGGCGAAUUAAGUUGCUCCAGGAAUACCUGGAUAAGGUGAAGAACAUUGUAAAGCCAGGAUGUUCGCAGGAGGUCCACCAACAGCAUUGAAAA
rnacentral:misc_RNA from 1 species